rnacentral:lncRNA from 1 species
AGGGGAACUUUGCUGGGGGGGUGGGGCAGGUGUGUCUGAGAAAGUCUUUCUUAUCUUCCACAGGGUCAGGAGGAAGAGAUUUCCCCUUCUCUGUUUCAGAUAUGAUCCCAGGGGACUGCUAUUGUCAUCUUGACCCUGUAAAGACAGUGAGGCUGAGGACAAGGCCCCCCGACCAAGAGGGCAGCGCUGAGAGAAGGAGACAGAGCCAGAUACUGCAGUGUCUACAACCACGAGUCUCUAUACUUGGGAGGAAGAAGAGGACUUUUGCAACAACCUGGCACUCAA